AGAAAAUAGUUGAUAAGCUAGAGGAGGAAUUUGCUAAUUACACUGCUGACCAUGAUAUUGCAAUUGGUGAUGUAGACUACAAGAACUCUAAGAAUUUGGGAAACUUGACUCUGACAUAUGAUGAGAGAUUCAAGUCCGAUGUCAAUCUAAACUGCAGCUCUGUCCAAAUACCGACAGACAUCUAUGAGGGAGACAAGGUUAUCUUGAACGGUAUCCAGGCAACCGAAGGUGUUGAUAGCGUCUUUCUCAGUAACUUUGAGGAGGAUCCGCAGCUUCUUUGGCAGUAUUUUGGCAGUGCGGAUGGGUUUUAUCGUUCCUAUCCAGCUGGACCUGAUAUUAGUGGACUUUACGAUGCUCGUUUGAGGAAAUGGUAAAACUACAAAUUUUUGUGUUUUUUACCAUCUUUGCCACGUAUCCCAGCUACCAUGUUCUGUUGCAUGCAAUAUCUUUUCUCCCAUUGAUAGUGACCCAUCGAUCAUGUGCUAACAUUACACACCAUAGACAUCCAUGUGAGAGGAUAGAUAAAGAUUAUUUAUUUCAUACAUAUAUAGUCCUACACACUUUAAUAGCACAUUUGUAUCUAUUUUACAGAGACAAACUGUAUGAUACAUUUUAUUUCCCACAGUAGGCCAAGAAAAUUGUGGUAAAAGUUGUAAAACCCUUCUGGAAAUCAUUGCCAUUCAAUUUUAAAAUAUGAAUCAUCACCUUUCAGAGUAAAGGCUAUGAAUAUAUACUGGAGACCUAAGAUGACAUUGCAAAGUUAAUAAGGCACGCCUCAAAAUCACAUUAUUCAAAUCAAGAAUAUUGUUUUAAUGGUAUAUGUACUGUAAAUGUAUCUGUCUUUGAAUUAAAUCCCCCUCAUGAUCACCUAAUAGUGGUUCAAUGCAAAAAUUAUGUAGCAACAACAUUAAACUACAGGCAAAAGGCAAAAAAUUGAAGAUAUUUCAGCUCAGCCUAUAUUCAAUUCAGAUUCUGGUUGUGGGCUCUACUCAAUGGAAAAAAAAUGUACGAAUUGUUUGAAUGUCAAAUGAAAUGGAUAUGAUAAAAAUAUAUAUGGUUUGAGAGACUUAUUGUGAUAAGAAACAUUUGGAGAAAAUGUGUUUUGAUAAGAAAUUUUGUAGCCCUCAUUAUUAUUGUUAUACAUUUAAAGGGGAACCCAACCCAAAUAAAAACUUGUUUUUAUAAGGAAAAGAAAAAUCAGACAAGUUGAUAGGUGAAAGUUUGAACAAUAAAGGACAAACAACAAGAAAGUUAUGAAUUUUUAAAAGUUGUAAAUAUUGGUAAUCACUAUACCCAUGGAGACUUCAAAUUGGCCGCAUAUAGGAUGUCAUAGUGAUGUAAGGCAAGGACUACUCUUCCAUGUACUCCAAUACAUAUUAUGGCUAAAAUGUAAUUUUUCCAAAAAGUUUUAUUUCAAAUUUUAUUUUUCUUUCAUGAGGACAUUAAACAAUAUACUAUCUGGGUUAUAUUUAUAUUACUGCCCCAGGGGAAUGGGUACUUGGGAGAAAACCACAAAUCCCUGAUAAUAAAGUACAUGGCCUAUGGGAAAGUUGUCCUUGCCCCUUGUCAUAAUUUACUUACCCAGUUGCCAAUUUGAAAUCUACAUAGUAUUAGUGAUCUCAAUUUUAAAGCAGCUAUAACUUUCUUAUUACUUGUCCGAUUUCUUUCAAACUUUCACCAUUCUGUUUAAUUUAUUUUUCUCCUUCCCAACACAACAUUUAAUGGCCAAGGCUGGAUUCCCCUUUAAGGGAAAUUUUACAGGUUUGGUUUGUUACGGCCAUUACCUGUACAUAUAAUUGCACAUGCAAGCAAGUAUAUAUUUACCCAGGGUUAUAGCCAUAGGUCAAAGCACAUAUAUAUUUCCAACAUCCUGCACUGAUAUUUUUUUAGCAAGCAUAUCAUUGAAAUGUACAAGUAUACCAAUGCUAAAUCAUUUCAUUUCACAAUCAAAUUAUGUUUCUCAAUGUUCUGAGGAAAUGCUCCACAUUCUUAUCAUGAAAGGUGUCCAUACUGUUUAUUUUUUU